UCCCUUUGACCUGCGCUCACGUUAGGAUAUUAUUUGAGGAUAACUCUUGAUAUCACUCGUCACCAUCGCACUUUGGAUGACAAUGGACUUGCGAUUGUGCGGCACUCACUUCCCAGUAACAAACAACACACGCAUUAGGAA